rnacentral:misc_RNA from 1 species
GGCAAGGAGGAAAAAUUCUGAUACA